rnacentral:rRNA from 1 species
UACGAAGGGAGCUAGCGUUGUUCGGAAUCACUGGGCGUAAAGCGCACGUAGGCGGAUGUGUCAGUCAGGGGUGAAAUCCCGGAGCUCAACUUCGGAACUGCCCUUGAUGCAGCACGUCUUGAGUCCGGAAGAGGUGGGUGGAAUUCCUAGUGUAGAGGUGAAAUUCGUAGAUAUUAGGAAGAACACCGGUGGCGAAGGCGGCCCACUGGUCCGGUACUGACGCUGAGGUGCGAAAGCGUGGGGAGCAAACAGG